rnacentral:tRNA from 1 species
GGCUGGAUCACCUCCUUUAAAAAGCAAGCAUCUUUCGGGAUGCGAGCGCCCAACACAAGUUACCUGUGAAGCCCUGGCGAGUAAUGACUCGGGGGUUUCAACUUAUAUAGCAACCGGCCACGAUCGAAUAUUUCUCUUCGAGCCUCCUGCGUCUGAUUUGGAGAGCUAUUACGAAGGGAUUUUUUCUCGGAUCAAGGCGCCGCGCAGUGAGAAGGGAGGGAGCGUACAUCAGGUACGUAACCGAACGCCGAGCAAGCGCAACGCCGAGUCGAGGAAAAAGACCAAGUAAGAGCGGGUCUGUAGCUCAGUUGGUUAGAGCGCACCCCUGAUAAGGGUGAGGUCGGAAGUUCGAAUCUUCCCAGACCCACCACAAUUCGGGGCCAUAGCUCAGCUGGGAGAGCGCCUGCCUUGCACGCAGGAGGUCGGCGGUUCGAUCCCGCCUGGCUCCACCACUUGUGGACCGAGGCUAGGUUGCUGUAAUACAAAUUGAAAGCCGGCGGUGUCGGUACACUGUUUUUG